GUGCCGUGGGCGGGGCCAACGGAUGGGCGUGGCUGGCACUGCGCCAGACUUAGGAAGCCUGGCCCCGCCUGCCGGGAGUGGAGCCUGCGGCGAGCGGCUGAGGGGUGAAGCUGGGUGAGUGCGGGCGGGGAGCCUGGCUCCGCCUCCCCCUGGCUCGCCUUUCCCGGCCGCCUUGAAUUUCCCGUUUUCAGUUCGUUCCCGACUUGUUUACGUUCAGGCCCACUGUUGCAGGUUGGUAGCGAAGGCGGGUGAACAUUGUUGCUUCGCUGCCUACGGUGGGUUCUUGUCUGGCAGUGCCAGGGCCGCCUCUUUCUGGCCCGCCGCCCCGCUCCGCGAGCCUAAAGGCCAUGAAAUUUUUUGUGUGAGAAAAAUCUCCAUUUUCUCUUUUAACUGGCGAGCGACUCGGUAGAGCACAGAAAUGUUUAAAGCUCUAUUGUGAUGACUUACCUUCCCGGGACCUCACCCGAGGGCGUUGCCUGACUCAGGCUUCUCUACCCUUGAGGAGGUCAGCUCCUGCCCUACCUACUCGCAGACCAAUUCGGAGAAACUCUUAGCAGACUUGUAUUGCAAACAUCCCGUCCUGGCAAAACCAAAUUCCCCAUGCAGAUUUGAAAAAAAAAAAAAACGUAUAUCCCUGAGGGUGAUUGUUAUUCAGGUUCUCAAUGUCUUUAUCUUUCUGCAAAAUGAAAAGUUACUCAUUUAAAAAUAAAGCAGAGUCCUCAUAUUUUGAAAAAGUUUCGCUUACAAGUGAUGGGGUAGGAUUACUGGUACAUACUCUUGUGAGACUUAGGACUGUCGCAGAUGGUACUUGAGCAAAUGAUUGACCCUUAUCCUACCCAACUCUAUUCUAGUUUACCCAGAAUUGUGGCUGUGUUGUGCAAGUUUUCAGCUAUCAGUAUUUCUUGAAGAAAGCAGGUUGAGUCUAAGGUUCUUGGGGUUUGGCUCUACCUAGGAAGGGGUUAGGUAUCUUUAGAAUGUCAAAUAACAAACUUGAGACAUAGACCAAGCUGUGUGUAUUUCAGGAACUUCUUGGGCUGAGAAAAACCGCCCAGGCACCUUCUUCAGUCUUUUGGGCUAUUCUAAAAUUCUAUUUAAAGAGAAUUGUUCAGUUGAGAGUGAAAAGAGUUGGGUUGCAGUUCUGGUGAACAGUAGCUAGCCAUGUAGCUUCCCGCAUCUUGGGCUCACCUUACUGUUCAGAACCCCACAUCAACUCUCUGGGGUUCACUGUGGGCUGACAUUGCCUAGUAAAAAUGGAAUUAAUUCCUCAGAGUUAACUACUGACCCCAGCUCCCUAGUUUCAUACAAUCUUGAUAUUAUAGAUAACUAAGUUAAUUAGGAAUAUUGUAGGCAGGCAGACAGGGCUGAGCCCUCAAAAGGUCAGUGCGGAAGACAACUGUGGCUGGAGGUGCACUUACUGAAGGCCACCUCUCGCCAUAUGCUUCCCGGCGCUUGAGCUGCACUGGUUGAUAUUCUAAAUAGACAUUAGUCACCUUGGAGUGCAGGACCUCCUUAACCCGCCCCCCCAUCAUAGUGCUUGUCUCUCCCAGGUGUCUUGCUAGGGAUUCCCUUCCCAAUUUGAUCCCUGUUUAAUACUGGUUGUAAUCUUACUGGUUGACUAUAGUUUUGCCCCAGCUCUCAUCCAUCCUGUGAUUUUCCAUUGGAUCAGUGUUGCCUAAGGGGCUAUGACUUACAAUCUUAUUGAUUGAAUAUAGUUCUGUCCCACCUUAAACCACCUCAUCACAUGGCUUUGCUCAAUAAAACAUCCUUGAGAGGCUGGAGUCAGUGGGCUACCCACCUUCCAGUCCCCACCUAUCCCUCUUAGACAGAAACUUUCUUGCAAUAAAUUCUUCCUACUUUUUACCUCCAUUGUUCCUAGAAUUCAUUCCUCAGUUUUAGAGAGCACAAACAGCGUUUUGGGCAUAUAACAGGUUAGGAAUUACAUUUCCCUCAUAUAAUUUGGAAGUCCUGUAUCCUACAUCCUGUAUCACUGAGACAUAAUUGAAGAUCAGGAAAUUCUGCAAGCCAGAUCUACAGGCUUAUAAUGAUUGUGCACAUAUAAAUCCUUCAAAAGACAAAAUUAUAAGUUAGUUUAAAGUUCUUAGUUUCACUUUUAUUAGAAUUAGUUUUAAUUUUAUAUAUUUUAUAAAUGCUACAAUAAGCACAGCAGACAAGAUAGGUUUUACAGAUUAAAAAAAAAGGAAUAAGAAGAAAAUGCAAGGCUGAAGAAAGCAGAAACAAGAAAAAAAAUGGAUUGUCGUAUGAGUUGUUUUCCUUGUAAAGCUGGGACAAAGAGAAAAAUAACGGAUCGAUCGACAUUGUGUUACUUCAGGUUACCUUUCUGAACAAAGAUUAAGGUAGAGGGAAUUGUAGUAUCAUGCCAUUUGGCACAGACCUGUUUGGGAAGUUUGACGGUUAUCUCUGUACCUUGAUUUCUCAAGACAAAUAUGUAGCUUUAUUACAGCUUAAGGAUGUGGAACUUUAGCAUAAGUAACUCUAUUUUUAUUUUUAGUCUGCUCUGUUGGCCCUUGUGUAGAGGUUUGUACAAAACAAGGACCUCCUCUAUAACUUUCACUUUCUAAUUCUUUCUCUGUUUUGAUGGAAUGUUAGAAAAAUAAAGCAUUUGCAGUAGAUAGGAAAAAAAACAAAAAAGAAAAGGCAAAUUCUUACUGGAUACCACUAAACUGAUUAGGAAACUAAGACAAAGGAAGAACAAAUGAUGUUUACAGAACCAGAAAUCCUUCUGUGCUACAGAACUUCUAUUUUAAAAGACUUGUGAAUAAAAGACCUUUCAUUAUUUUGUGUACCAGCAGUAAGCAACAGUGUAAACUCAGUUGGCAAACAGUCUGGGAAUAAUCUCCUGGUUUUGUUUCUCCAUUUUAUCUGGUUUGUCUGCAGAACUGUGCAGUCACAACAGCAAGGAUCAUAAAGAAGCUGGACCAAGACCAAGCAUAGCAAAGCCAGCCUCGGGAUUUAUAGAAGCUUGCCCGUUGACCCUAGAAACUAAGGAGUCAGGAGCAGAAGAGAAUCCAUGACUCAACCAAAGUUUCAAAACAUAAGCAUAAGUUGCCCUUAACUACUAAUUGUGAAGGCAGUCUUAGAAGAACUUUGCUUUCCUUUAUCAUGUUGAUUUUUAGAGUAAGAAUCUCCUUUUAAAGUGACACCAGCUUUACAUUUCACCAGGAUCCAAGUUUAUUUUUCUUUUAACUGGGAAAGAGGACAAAAUGGAAUUGGACACUGAAUGCUAGAAUCAUAGUUCAUUUAGAUUUCUGUAAUGUACUUACUCAUUGAGGGAUUUUUUUUUCCUUCACAUUUCUAUUCUCCCUGUUUUUUUCUCAAAGAAGAGUUACUUCUUCAGAGAAACUUACUGAGAUUUAGCGAAAUGAUUGGAAAACGUUUCUGCAAAUAUAGGGUCCUGAAUAUGCCUUUUGAAAAGUGCUCUUGGCACAGUCCCUAGACAGCUCAAUGUGUGGCUUCAGCUAGGCAUCUUGUGGCUUUGUCUCAGCUUUUAUAAGGGAAAUGUUUCUUCUGUGAAGGAAGGGAAGGCUGACUUGCCCCUUUAGAGACUUCAGCAUUGCCUUUUUUUUUUUUUCUUUUCUUCAUAACUUAGGUAUUCUUUCCUGCUUCUAAAUUUCUUACCUCCAGAGUUAAUAUUUAUUAUUCACUGACUACUUUCAUAUCAUGUAUACUUUUUAAUUAUUUUAUCAGUUGUUUCUAAUUUAAUUUUAAAAUUAUUAUUUUCUUUGAUGAACUGGCUACAUGACUUUUCCCCUCCUUAGAACUUGACCUAUAAUGUCUCAAGCCGUUUUCGAAUUGUCCUAAUAAUGAAUGCAGAUCACUUUUGAUUCAAUUAAUUACAGCACUGGGAAUUUUUGUUUUGUUCUGCUUGAUUGUGAAAAGACAGGAUCUGAUCUCUAAUGGGCUCUUUAGUUUUCCAAUUGUCAUCUCUUAGUUUCUUCCUCCAAAACAGGUCUUCCUAAGUAUAUUCAUGCUUUUUAGAAAAGAGGAGAAAACAGAGCGAAGAGAUGACAAACACAAACCAAAAAGGAGAGUGAAAUCAAAAGAAUGAGAAGUGGAACACUCGGCACUCGAAAGGCAUGGAGGAACUUCAGAUACACGUUACUAACGGAGCCAAUGUGAAAAUUACAUAAUGUCUUCUCCAAUCCUGUGACAUCCUGGCAAGGGCAAGACGACGGAGACACAAGACUUACCUCUGGUGUGGGCGGAGGCAGUGAUGCGUGGGUAGCGCCCCAGGAUUGCGAGGGCCGUGAAAUUACUCUGCUUGUACAGUCACGGUGGAUAUUUGUCUUUAUUCACUUGUCAAGGUUCAUAGAAUGUACAACAAGAAGAUUACACCCCAAUGGGAGCCAUCGGGUCUGGGUGAUAAUAAUUCAUCAAUAUAGUUUCACUGAUUAUAACUUACGUAAAAUUUAUAGGAGAUUGUUGGCUUAGACUGAGCUACUAUGCUAGGCUGCCAAUCUUAUUUUGCCUAAAGUUUUUCUAUUAUUAUAAGAGUGUACUACUCUGGUGCAGGAUUUUAGUAGUGGGGGAAGUUGUAUGAGUGAGGCAGAGGUGGCUGGGGUGACUCAGAAGUCCCAACACCUUCUGUUCAGUUUGGCCAUGAACCUAAAACUGCUCUAAAAAUAAAGUUUACUUUAAAAAUA